ACUUAAGAAAACAUCUUAUGGCUCCUCAAGGAUCCGAAGGAACCUAAUUAGCCACAUAGUAAAAUCUGUACUUUGUGGCCACCAGAACUUUGACAGCAAGUACACACAAUCCGUGUCUCAAAAUAUGAGCAGCGGUUUACCAGCAGCUGUGCGAUCACCUAAGAAGAAUGUAGAUCAUCCUCUCAACUUAGUAUUGGCACUGAACUGGGGACUGGGAUACAAAUUUGAUGAAGACAUGGUUCAUACCCUAGAAGGACUCAGAAUGGGGGU